CAGAGACCUACCUGUUAUGACGUGCUCAAUUUGACAACUUGUUGCAUUUAAAUCGGCUGACUGAUUUUGUAAAAAGAUAUCAAAUCAUACCAAAAGAAAAACUGGAUGAUAGAUCGACGAAUCCGAAAUUCAAGGAAUGGCAAUAAAAAGAACUGGGUGGUCCUCGGCUGGAUACAAGCAUCUGUUGGACCUCCGAUGUACUCACUCGUGAUGAACCACGAAAAAGCGAGUGAUUGUUGGCUCGUACUGAAGACAAAUCUAUUCACUCCCAAAGCAUUCGGGACCAAUUGCGCAACCUGAAGAAAACGUAUGAUAUUUCAAUGAAAGAAUAUCUUAUCCAGGUCUGCACGCUCACUGAUUCUUUAGCAUCGACUAGUGAUAGAGUCAAGGAUUCAUAUAUCAUUGAGUUCGUAGCUAAAGGUGUAGGGCCGUAGUUUCAUCCUUUCAUUUCAGCAAUACAUAUUAACCCCAAUAUGUCUUUUGAUGACUUCUUCCACCUGAUAAUUCGGGAAGAAUUAUUUCUCAAGCGAAAUCAGGGAAUUGGAUCCAAUCCAUCGACAUUUGCAACACAUUCUAAAUACUAGAAUCGUGGCUGAGGUCGUGGUAAUCGUAGAGGUCAUGCUGGAAGAAAUUGGGGGCAGAGGUCAAAAAUGACAAGGAAAUAAAUCUGUCCAAUCGUUUGGGAAGGUAAAUGAAAAUAAAGUCAUUUGUCAGUUAUGCGAUAAAUCAGGUCAUUCGGCCAAGACUUGUAGAAGGGGUCUUCAAGCGUUUGCUACUGCUGUAAAUGAGGAAGAAGAUUCUGAAGGAAUCUGGUUGUUAGAUUUUGGUGCGUCAAACCAUAUGACACCGGAUAUCAACACAAUGGUUGAUGUACAAGCGUAUACAGGUAAACAAUCUAUAAUUAUUGGUAAUGGGUUAGUUUUACCUAUUACACAUGUCGGGACAGUGAUGUUAAAAAUACCCUAUGGUCCACUAUCAUUGAAGAACACACUUUGUGUUCCCAAAUUAAAAAGAUAUCUUUUAUCAUCACAUGCUUUAACAAGAACCUUAAAUUGUUGUAUUAUGCUAAAUAGAAAUGGUUUCACUGUUUUUGAUAAUCAGAAAGGGAAGAAACUUCUCAAUGGCAAUAGCUAAGGCAGAUUAUACCACAUGGAUAGUCAAAAUAAAGAAGGUGGUAGAAAGAUUUCAACCUUUUUAGCGUAUAACUCUGAAGUAUGACAUCGAUGAUAUGGCCAUUUAUCAAAUCAAGUUUUAAAUAAACUACUUAGAUCAGCAAAUAUAAAAUGUAAAAACAAUUUUCAAAAAUGUAUUGAGUGUGCCUU
rnacentral:lncRNA from 1 species